rnacentral:rRNA from 1 species
GAUGAACGCUGGCGGCGUGCCUAAUACAUGCAAGUCGAGCGAACAGAUAAGGAGCUUGCUCCUUUGACGUUAGCGGCGGACGGGUGAGUAACACGUGGGUAACCUACCUAUAAGACUGGGAUAACUUCGGGAAACCGGAGCCAAUACCGGAUAAUAUUUCGAACCGCAUGGUUCGAUAGUGAAAGAUGGUUUUGCUAUCACUUAUAGAUGGACCCGCGCCGUAUUAGCUAGUUGGUAAGGUAACGGCUUACCAAGGCGACGAUACGUAGCCGACCUGAGAGGGUGAUCGGCCACACUGGAACUGAGACACGGUCCAGACUCCUACGGGAGGCAGCAGUAGGGAAUCUUCCGCAAAGGGCGAAAGCCUGACGGAGCAACGCCGCGUGAGUGAUGAAGGUCUUCGGAUCGUAAAACUCUGUUAUUAGGGAAGAACAUACGUGUAAGUAACUGUGCACGUCUUGACGGUACCUAAUCAGAAAGCCACGGCUAACUACGUG